rnacentral:misc_RNA from 1 species
GAUGAAGAACGUAGCGAAAUGCGAUAAGUAAUGCGAAUUGCAGAAUUUCCGUGAGUCAUCGAAUCUUUGAACGCACAUUGCGCCCACUGGUAUUCCGGUGGGCAUGCCUGUUCGAGCGUCAUUAUCCUCCCUCAAACCCCGGGUUUGGUGUUGGACCGAAGUUGUGUGAACAUCUGGUCUAAAAGACAAUGACGGCGUCCGUGGGACCCUCGGUGCGACGAGCUUUUAGGAGCACGCGCCGAGUUGCAAGGACCUUCCGGGCCGGUCUCCUUUUACUAUUUUACAAGGUUGACCUCGGAUCAGGUAGGAAUACCCGCUGAACUUAAGCAUAUCAAUAAGCGGAGGA